GCCCUGAUGGUGAAACGGACAUCAUCCCUCGCUUCUACCGAGGAGUUCCGGGUUCAAGUCCUGGUCGGGGUA
rnacentral:tRNA from 1 species